AAACAUGGGGUCGGCCAAAUAAAAUCACCCGUGGGCCAAAUUCAUCCCACGGUCUGCCAGUUGGGGAACCCUGGUGUAGGGGAUAAUUAGACCCUCCGAUAGCCUCUUAGACCAAGCGAGCAAGGCUUCUAUAUGUUCAGGGCAGGAGAGCAUUAGGCCCCAGCACACAGGGCCUAACAGGUCCACCAGCGCCAGCCUCAACAGGGGCAGCACCUGGACCAGCCUCCACACACCAAGCUCAGCCUCAAAAGGCUCAGCCCAGUCUCAACAGGGGUUGUACCAGGCCUAGACUAAAUACCCUCAGCCCAGCUUCAACAGGGGUAGUCCCAGGCUCAGCCUCAACAUCCUUAGACCUUCCUCAACAGGGGUAGCACCAAGCCCUGCUUCAACACUCCCUGCCCAGCCUCAACAAGGGGGUGGGGGUGUUAUGAUCACUACUGGCUUCUUCUCAUGGAACUGGCACAAUGAAAAGAGACCUGGUGUUUGGGAAAGAAGACUGAAACCUCCUGCUCCGACUGAGGAGGAUGAAGAACAAGGUGCGCUGCCUAUGGACUGUGCCACCUCUGAUUAGGUCCAGACACAUGAUUACUGUGCAGCCCCUGAAACCCGCAGCCCUGGACACGGCCCUAAUGGCAAAUCAUGAGCACGUAAGAGUAAUUGAGGAGCUUCGAGCCAAGCUGGAGUAACUGACUGCCCAACACGGCUUUGGUGCGAUUUUCUGGUUCUGACGAGGAUAUGCAUUUUUACACAAGAUUUGCAAUCUACACUCACCUGAUGGCCUUCUGGCACUUGACUGAGCGGGCAGCAGAGACCAAGUUUAUAAGUCACAAGCACCAAUCCAUCUGAAACAAGUGUUACUCGAAAAAACCGAUACUGCCAUCAAUCGACGAGUUCUUCUUGUUUAUGACUCAUCUGUCGCUGGGUCUGAAGCAGAAAGAUUUGGCCCAUUGGUUCAGCAUCCACCAAUCGACAGGGAGCCGGAUUAUCAUCUCUUGGGCCAACUUCCUCUACUGUCUGCUUGGAUCAGCACGGAUAUGGAUCCCCAGGGAAAGUUCAAGGACUAUCCAGACACCCAGAUAGUGAUCGACUGCACUGAACUCCGCUGCCAGACAACAUCUUCACUACUAUGGCAGAGUGAGGUGUUUUCUUCCUGUUGCAGGAAUUAAAUUCCUCGGUUUUAAUACCCAAUUAAAAUGAAUCAUUCAUAAGGGUUUGUAAGACCCUUAUUUGUAUAAAAUGGACAGAGACCAGUCUUUGAAAUCAACCAGCUGCGUUUAUUCUCGUGAGUACUGCCCAUUAUACAUUUUAUCACAGGUUAUAAACUGAAAAUGACGUCAGCGUUUUCUAAACUGUUCCGUCUCUUCUCAACACUGGUACAAAGGCUCUAUAGUUCUCAAGCCUUCCCACCUCGCAUAGAGUCAAGGUCAGCCUGUGUAGAUAAACAUUCUAGCCAGUCUGGCGAUAUAGUUCAUUCAUUUCUACCAAGGAACAGACAGUCAUUGUUCUAAUUCUUGAU